GUUCACACACUUUACAGGUAUCCAGAAUUUUCGUUUGUAUGAGAAUCGAGCUUCUCAUGGGGCUCUCCCAUAAAUAUCCCAACCAAAAUGAUCAACCCAACUGAGAUAUCCAACACUUUGAACAGACCAGAAACAAAGGAGAACAAUCGAAAACAGAGUACAAACAGAGCACAAAAGAAUGAAAUAAAACGAACCAGUCAGACAGCCACGUUUCAUAUUACAAUCCAUGUGCUUAAACGAAGGUAAGUGAGAUCAAUAAAUUUUAGACAAAGACCCAGGCAUGAUUUAGACAUUUUAUAGGAAAGCUGCAACAGAGACAGCUCAUACCCGAACAAAACUCCAGGAAAUGUGAACCAAGAGAUCAACAACAAGUUAUACUAAAAAAACAACAAUAAUAGAGAAGGAAAAUGAAGAAAUCCAAAAUAAAGAAAUCCAUGUUGGCCAUACCUGAACCUCUCUGGUAGUGCUUACUCAGCUCCCUCCUCUAUAAGCUCUCCCUCUCCUUCUCGAUUCGUCCUCCGCCUCCCAGAAAAGCCCCCCCUUUCUAUCUCUCUGUCUUCCCUUUAGCUUCCGUUCGUGUCUUCCUCAGCAAGCCAGCCGUAUCCCGUCCCCUCUGCCGCCCAAA
rnacentral:lncRNA from 1 species